CCGCCAAUUACCCAGACGUCGACCCGCGGACAAGAAUACGACGCAACCUGACGUAUUGCAGCGAAAAUCUCGUCCUCAAUCGCGAUCUGCUGCAGCUUCUGUUGGAGCACGGGUUUAUAUGCAAAGGAGAUUACGAAGAAUUGCUGAUGCCGACCAUUCUCUCUUCCAAACGUAAAGGCCGUCUGUUGCUAGACAUUCUACCAACGCGACCAGCUGACAAGUUUCCAGAAUUCGUUGAAAUACUUCGACGCGUGAGACUCACUGACUUAGCGAACAAACUAGAAUGGAUCCGUUCAACUUUAAGUUAACUUCACCACCACUUGCUUAUUGUACAAACAUUGGAACAAAUCAACAAGUUCUGACGAAUCAGCAGUGGCUGGGCUGUCACUCUUUUGUUAGGAUUGGAGUGCCGAUGGCAAGUGCAAUUUGUACAGGAGUGAUCAAGCUGCAGAUGGGAGACGAAUGUAUUCACAUUAGUGGAGGAGGUUUUGGCACUCCUCGGAACAAUACGGAACUUGUGUCAUGGAGUGGAUGCACAGAUGAUCGUCUUUGGUUUACGUAUAGAGCUGAUGGAUCAUUUGUUUAUUAAAGUGGUUACAAUUGCUUGGGAUUGAGAGAUGCAACACUAAAGAAGGGCACACGAGUGGUGAUCAAGCCGUGUACGGCUUGUACAA